ACCAGCAUGGUGUAGUGGUUUGAACGUUGGACUAUGACUCUGGAGACCAGAGUUCGAAUCCUGGUUCAGCCA